UCUUCUAUCAUAUUUCCUAAACCUAAUUCAAGAACAGCAGCCGCACCUUUUCUCUGUUCCCAUUCUUCUUUUGGACAACAGUCCAACUCUUCUUAGCCCUUUCAGAAGAUUGUUUCUCCAUUUUGGUGUAAAAGUUUGAAUCCUCUCUCUUUCCUCUUUAACUCUCUCAUCAAAAGUCAAAGGUCAUUAAAGAGUAUCUGUGCAAAAAUCACAAGAAUCCUUGAAAUCCCACAUGCAGACAAAGGAAAGGUGAAACUUUUCAUCCUUGCUUGCUGCUACUUCUGCCAUGACCAACUACUAAAGACAAAUGGCUAUUUUGAAACUCUAUUUUUGAUUUCCCGCUCAAGAAUCCACAAACCCUAGUCUUUUGCUCCUAUAAAUAUUAACUUAUAUCUUCAGCAAAGGGGGAAGGAAUUUUGAGCCGCCUUGACACAUUGAAAAUACUCUCUUCAUCUUCCAAGGCUUUCUUUUCUUUCUAGGUGAAUUUUAUCCACCCCAAAAGUACUCGAACUGAUCCGACUCUAGUUUCGAACCUGUUCAUAACAAGAGAGUAGAUUCGAGACCCCGACGUCCUAGUUCACUGCACCCACAAGAGGUAUGGAUUUUACAUUGGAGUACGUCUGUGAUCAACAAUUGACGAGAACCAAGGACAUCACAAAAUGGAGCCAGACAUUUAGACAUGACAAACUGUAUUUACUUGACUUAGAUCAAGAAGUACUUUAUAUUGUAUUCAUUCGAUAUGUAAUAAAUAUUACAUUACUUUUGUACUAUAUUUUGGGAAAUAGAAUUUGUUUAAUUA